AUGACUUCUAACAUCUUUGGGACACCUGAAGAGAACCCCCCAUCUUGGGCCAAGUCAGCAGGUGCCAAGUCUAGUGGUGGCAGGGAAGAUUUGGAGUCGCUGGAACUCUGAGUGGUAACUCUUCUGAAGCAAACUCUGGAGAUGUCUUAGACCUCAAGGGAGAAUAUCCACGAAAAUGUCGACACAGACUUCCAAGCCAACCUGGUGCAGAUGGAAGAGAAGCGGGUGCCUACUGGUCCUGUGCCCAGCCCAGUGACUCCAGCCCCAGCGCCAUGAGGGAGAAAGCCCCCUGGCAGCAAAUCCAGCCUAAUCUUGGGUUAG
rnacentral:lncRNA from 1 species